rnacentral:ncRNA from 1 species
AAAAGACUUAGUCCUAACCUUACCGUUAGUUUUUGCUAGACAUAUACAUGCAAGUAUCCGCACCCCAGUGAAAAUACCCAUAACAUCUCUACAUAGAUAACAGGAGUAGGUAUCAGGCACGCACACAUAGCAGCCCCAAACACCUUGCUCAGCCACACCCCCACGGGAUAUCAGCAGUAAUUAACAUUAAGCUAUAAGUGAAAACUUGACUUAGCCAUAGCAACUAUCAGGGUUGGUAAAUUCUGUGCCAGCCACCGCGGUCAUACAGGAAACCCAAACUAACUCAACACGGCGUAAAGAGUGGUCUUCUACUAUCAAACUAACUAAGACUGAAAUGUUACCAAGCUGUUAUAAGCUAAAGGCACACCUAAUCUCACCAAAAAAGAUCUUAGUUACACGACCAAUUAAACUCCACGAAAGCCAGGACACAAACUGGGAUUAGAUACCCCACUAUGCCUUGCCAUAAAUCCAGAUGUUCUACUACCAAAACAUCCGCCCGAGAACUACGAGCACAAACGCUUAAAACUCUAAGGACUUGGCGGUGCCCCAAACCCACCUAGAGGAGCCUGUUCUGUAAUCGAUAACCCACGAUACACCCAACCAUCCCUUGCCAAAACAGCCUAUAUACCGCCGUCCCCAGCCCACCCUAAAACUGAAGGACCAAAAGUGGGCACAAUAGCCUACAAACCACUAACAAGACAGGUCGAGGUAUAGCCUAUGGAAUGGAAGAAAUGGGCUACAUUUUCUAAAAUAGAACAAUUACCCUUAAACGGAAAGGAGUGUGAAACCACCCCUAAAAGGCGGAUUUAGCAGUAAAGUAGGAUCACAAAGCCUACUUUAAGUUGGCCCUGGAGCACGUACAUACCGCCCGUCACCCUCAUCACAAGCUGCCCACCAAUAUACCUCAAUACACCCUUAAGCCAAAGAUGAGGUAAGUCGUAACAAGGUAAGUGUACCGGAAGGUGCACUUAGUAUACC